CCUACGGGAGGCAGCAGUGGGGAAUAUUGCACAAUGGGCGAAAGCCUGAUGCAGCGACGCCGCGUGAGGGAUGACGGCCUUCGAGUUGUAAACCUCUUUCAGCAGGGAAGAAGCGAGAGUGACGGUACCUGCAGAAGAAGCGCCGGCUAACUACGUGCCAGCAGCCGCGGUAAUACGUAGGGCGCAAGCGUUGUCCGGAAUUAUUGGGCGUAAAGAGCUCGUAGGCGGCUUGUCACGUCGGGUGUGAAAGCCCGGGGCUUAACCCCGGGUCUGCAUUCGAUACGGGCUAGCUAGAGUGUGGUAGGGGAGAUCGGAAUUCCUGGUGUAGCGGUGAAAUGCGCAGAUAUCAGGAGGAACACCGGUGGCGAAGGCGGAUCUCUGGGCCAUUACUGACGCUGAGGAGCGGAAGCGUGGGGAGCGAACAGGAUUAGAUACCCUGGUAGUCCACGCCGUAAACGGUGGGAACUAGGUGUUGGCGACAUUCCACGUCGUCGGUGCCGCAGCUAACGCAUUAAGUUCCCCGCCUGGGGAGUACGGCCGCAAGGCUAAAACUUAACGAAAGUAGUACGGCGUGNGAGNGCGACGACGACGACGACGGAGGAGG
rnacentral:rRNA from 1 species